UACAGAGGUCUCAAGCGUUGUUCGGAAUCAUUGGGCGUAAAGGGCGCGUAGGCGGCCCGGUAAGUCCGCUGUGAAAAGUCCAGGGCUCAACCCUGGGAUGCCGGUGGAUACUGUCGGGCUCGAGUCCGGAAGAGGAGUGUGGAAUUCCUGGUGUAGCGGUGAAAUGCGCAGAUAUCAGGAGGAACACCAAUGGCGAAGGCAGCACUCUGGGACGUGACUGACGCUGAGACGCGAAAGCGUGGGGAGCAAACAGG
rnacentral:rRNA from 1 species